GUGUUUUUCCCGCUACUUGGUGCGUAACGUUGACCGCCGUAACAAGUGGAUUUCUGCCAUACAUAGUAUGAUACGGAGGGAUCACUGGACUCCUACAGAACACUCCAGACUGUGCUGUGAACAUUUUGUCUCUGCGUUGCAGAUAUGGCAGGCAAAAUCAGCCUUGACUUUAAAAAGCGAUCUGGCGAGGAGGAAAGUCAAGAGUCCAGAGCUGCUUCAAAAUCAUCUAUGAGUGUCUCAAGCAAAAGUGUCCCCACCACACAAGCUAUGAGCCCAUCAUUCUCUUAUGCAAGCGCUUAGGCCACAG